rnacentral:lncRNA from 10 species
CUGGAGCGCCCAGGGCAUGUCCGCCGAUCCCAAGGAGGCAAUCUGUCAGGCGCCGCCCGGGCGGCAGUAUGCCUGAGGGGGUCCUCCGUGUUCGCGCCUCCCGCCGCCUGCACUGAAAGGUCUGUACCUGAGCCUGGAUACUUGAACAGAGGCAGACACUGCGGCUCAAAACCCCAAGGGUAAUAUCCUAGCUCUGAGACAAAAAUUGGGAACCUCAGCAUGAGUUUGUCACCUGAAUGAAAUAAAAAAAAUCACGUUGAAGGCUGGUGCAGUAACAUGUGCCUGUAGUCCCAGCUACUCUGGAGGCUGAGUCAGGAGGAUCACUUGAGACCAGAAGUUCAGGAAUUCAAGACUGGCUUGAGCAACAUAGCAAGACUUCAUUUCAAAACAAACAGAAAAAAGCCACCACCUUCAGUAUUUCUUGCCAAAGCAAAGGAGCCAUUUGUUCUUUACGAUGGUCAGGAAAGGAAGCAUCAAGGUCAUCAAAUGAAAAAUUUUCAGCAUUUCAGCCUCUCUGCUCAGGGAAAUAUCUGAAUCUAGAAUAUCACAACAUGAGCCAAAACCGCCCCAUUUCUCAUGCCACAUGUCACUCUUAACACAAGGUUACUCAACCUCGAGCAUGGUUGGCAUUUGGGGCUGAAUAAUUCUUUUUUGUAGGGGGCUGUCCUGGGCAUUGUAGGAUGCUCAUGAGCUACCUCAGUCUCUACCACCCACUAGAUGCCAGUAGCAUUGACCCCUGAUCUCUCUACCCAAGUUGUGACAACUAAAACCAUCUCUGGAUAAUGGAGGAACCUUAAAUGCAUAUUGCUAAGGAAAAGCCAAUCUGAAAGGAUUACAUAUUGUAUGAGUCCAACUAUAUGGUAAUCUGGAAAAGGCAAAACCAUGGAGACAGUGAAAAGGUAGUGGUUACCAGUGGUCCAUGGGAAGGGUUGGAUGAAUAGGUGGAGCACAGAGGAUUUUUAAGGCAGUGAAACUAUUCUGAAUGAUACUGUAAUGGUGGAUACAUGUCAUACCUUUGUCAAAACCAAUAAAAUAUAACAACCAAUAAAACUGCACAAAGAGUGAACCCUAAUGUAAACUAUGGACUUAAUAAUGUAUCAAUAUUGGCUCACCAAUUUUAACAAAUGUACCACACUAAUGCAAGAUGUUACUAAUAGUGGAAACUGGAGGGAAGAGGGCUUGAGGGGACAUACGGGAACUCUCUGUAAUUCCUGUUCAGUUUUUCUGUAACUGUUAAACUGUCCAAAAAAAGUCUGUUUUUAUAAAUGGAGGCAUGGUUUUAUAUGGACUAAAAUACUAUGAUUGCCUUUUUAUUUUACACAUGGUGAAAUUAGAGCAGGACAUAUUUUAAACUCAAAAUUCACAAAAU